rnacentral:rRNA from 1 species
CGAAUGGAGCAAUCCUAGUAGAGCGGCGCACGGGUGCGUAACACGUGGAUAAUCUGCCUGGGUGUCUGGGAUAACCAGUCGAAAGAUUGGCUAAUACCGGAUAAGCCCCCGGGAGCUUCGGCUCUUGAGGGAAAAGGUGGCCUCUGUAUACAAGCUAUCACAUCCAGAUGAGUCCGCGGCCCAUCAGCUAGUUGGCGGGGUAAUGGCCCACCAAGGCGACGACGGGUAGCUGGUCUGAGAGGACGAUCAGCCACACUGGAACUGAGACACGGUCCAGACUCCUACGGGAGGCAGCAGUGGGGAAUUUUGCGCAAUGGGCGAAAGCCUGACGCAGCAACGCCGCGUGUGUGAUGAAGGUCUUCGGAUUGUAAAGCACUUUCGACCGGGACGAAAACCCUCUGGCCAACACCCAGGGGCUUGACGGUACCGGGAGAAGAAGCACCGGCUAACUCUGUGCCAGCAGCCGCGGUAAUACAGAGGGUGCAAGCGUUGUUCGGAAUUAUUGGGCGUAAAGCGCGUGUAGGCGGCUUUGCAAGUCGGGUGUGAAAGCCCUCAGCUCAACUGAGGAAGUGCGCCCGAAACUGCAGAGCUUGAGUGCCGGAGAGGGUGGCGGAAUUCCCCAAGUAGAGGUGAAAUUCGUAGAUAUGGGGAGGAACACCGGUGGCGAAGGCGGCCACCUGGACGGUAACUGACGCUGAGACGCGAAAGCGUGGGGA